UGACUGGCCGUUUGAAUCCUGAUAUCUUAA
rnacentral:piRNA from 1 species